ACGAACGCUGGCGGCGUGCUUAACCCAUGCCAGUCGAACGGAAAGGCCCUGCUUUUGUGGGGUGCUCGAGUGGCGAACGGGUGAGUAACACGUGAGUAACCUGCCCUUGACUUUGGGAUAACUUCAGGAAACUGGGGCUAAUACCGGAUAGGAGCUCCUGCUGCAUGGUGGGGGUUGGAAAGUUUCGGCGGUUGGGGAUGGACUCGCGGCUUAUCAGCUUGUUGGUGGGGUAGUGGCUUACCAAGGCUUUGACGGGUAGCCGGCCUGAGAGGGUGACCGGCCACAUUGGGACUGAGAUACGGCCCAGACUCCUACGGGAGGCAGCAGUGGGGAAUAUUGCACAAUGGGCGGAAGCCUGAUGCAGCAACACCGCGUGCGGGAUGACGGCCUUCGGGUUGUAAACCGCUUUCGCCUGUGACGAAGCGUGAGUGACGGUAAUGGGUAAAGAAGCACCGGCUAACUACGUG
rnacentral:rRNA from 1 species